rnacentral:misc_RNA from 1 species
UCAAAACAGCGGCCUUCGGGCCUCGCUGCACCCUUGUCUUUUGCGCACCGUAUUGUUUCCUCGGCGGGCUUGCCUGCCGGUUGGACAUUAUCAAACCUUUUUGUAGUUGCAAUCAGCGUCAGAAAAUAAUAAUAAUUA